ACACACGUACUACAAUGGCCGGUACAAAGGGCAGCGACAUCGCGAGGUGGAGCGAAUCUCGUAAAGCCGGUCUCAGUCCGGAUUGGAGUCUGCAACUCGACUCCAUGAAGUUGGAAUCGCUAGUAAUCGUGGAUCAGCAUGCCACGGUGAAUACGUUCCCGGGCCUUGUACACACCGCCCGUCACACCACGGGAGUUGGUUGUACCAGAAGCAGUUGAGCUAACUAUUCGUAGAAGCAGGCUGCCAAGGUAUGAUUGGUAACUGGGGUG
rnacentral:rRNA from 1 species